CUGGACUGGAGUAUAUUCUGUAAACCUGAUUAAAAGUAUUGGUGUCAAUGGAGAAGGUCUGACAAUAGUUCAUCGUCCAGUCCUUCAUUAUCAUUUUUCCCCACAGUACAUAACAGUAUCAAGGGAUUAUAUCUACUGGACCCAAGGUUUAACAUUUAGAGUUUUCGGACGUGAAAAAAAUAAUUCUAGAGAAAUUACCAGAUACAGAAACUUAGAAAAGUAUGGUCAACGGGGUAUUCAGCAAAAUAUCUUUAUGGGUAUUCUUGCCAUCGAUCCAAGAAAACAGACAGAUAGAUAGUCCAAGUCUCUGUGGAGAUAAUAAUGGUGGAUGUUCCCAUUUCUGUCUACCUUCGUUGAUACAAUCUAUUCCGCCAUAUAAAUGCGCGUGCCCAGAUGGAAUGAAUUUAAUGGACGACACCUCAACAUGUUCAGAUGAAAUACCGAUUUAACCCUUAUGACGCGAUGAUAUAUAUGUUCGCUUACUUACCAGAAAAUAACAUUAGCCAUGACAUUUCUAAAAAUAAUAAUAAAAGCGAUUUAUAUAGCGGAUGAUUACUAACCAUUUAGUUACGUAUGCGUUUUCAAGUAAGGGUGGGGGGAUGGUCGAAUGGUUAGCGCGUGCGCGUUGUACCAUAAGGUCUGUCAUUGACUCAAUUGGCGUGGCCUGUCCAACGUGGGUUUUUCUCGGGUCCUCCGGUUUACUCCCACAGCGAAUUAUUGAAAUAAAAUUGAACCAUAUGUUAGUCCCGAGAAGACUUGUGUCUUAUGGGGUUGUCAAUAAUUCGCUGGCGCGUAGGGUUCUUUAGCGGUUGGGGAAAAUCGGAGGACCCGGAGAAAACCCACGAUGUUGGACAGGCGACCCUAAUCCUUGUCACGCACAAGGGGGAAAUUGAAACCAUGCCACUUGACGCAAUCAUAGACCUAAUGAUUUAACCUUUCGGCCACCCAAGUCACUGGAUCUAUUGUAUAUACAUUUCAUCUUAUUGCCAUAUUUUUUCUAUUGUCACCAAGUCAUGCCUCCAACUCAGUAUCAGUGAAAACAAGAAAUGGGUGGAAACCCUGGUUUGCGAUAGCACGCGGUUACAUAAUUCACGGACUCAAAAAGGAACUAUUUUAACUUCGUGCAGAAAUCAAAUGUUGAGAAAAAUGGGCAGUCAAAGAAAAGUAACUGAUAAAAUAAUUCAAAAUAAACACUGCUGUUUUGUGGUAGGUUGAUUUGUAAAAAUUGAAGUAAACGAGGAAAUAAUUUGACUUAUUUGUACCCCUUAUGGUACUUUUUUGAUAGGUUAUUCCUGUCAAACGAUCACAUGAUAUUUCUUUGGUCAUGUGACCUGUUCCUAUGGUAAAGUGGGACUUCGCAGCGCUCUCGAAGAGAUAGUAUCCCUAA